rnacentral:tRNA from 1 species
GGGCCCGUAGCUCAGCCAGGUAGAGCGGCGGGCUUUUAACCCGUAGACCAGCGGGGCUCUGGGCGGAAGUCCCGGGUUCAAAUCCCGGCGGGCCCGCCA